UACGUAGGGUGCGAGCGUUAUCCGGAAUCAUUGGGCGUAAAGAGCUCGUAGGCGGUUCAGCAAGUCGGCUGUGAAAGUCCGAGGCUCAACCUCGGAAUUGCGGUCGAUACUGUUGUGACUCGAGUCCGGUAGAGGAGAAUGGAAUUCCCGGUGUAGCGGUGGAAUGCGCAGAUAUCGGGAGGAACACCAGUAGCGAAGGCGGUUCUCUGGGCCGGCACUGACGCUGAGGAGCGAAAGCGUGGGGAGCGAACAGG
rnacentral:rRNA from 1 species